rnacentral:lncRNA from 1 species
AUGCUAUUCAAGUUAUAUUUAUGGUGUCAUUAUGCUCAGACCUUCUAACGACCCGUAAUAAUGCAUCAGAAUCAUAGCCUUAGCUGUUCCCUGGGUGGUAGACACAGAGAUGGCCUCCAACCCCCAGGAACCCCCCGGGUGUCCCCAUACGGACCUAUGUGAGGCUUUAGCUCAGAUAUGCGUACCAUAUACACGACCGUCAGUGGGACUGCGGCGUCAGAGAGUAGACAAAUACUGAACCUUGGAGCCAGCAUCUACUUGGUCAUCGUAGCCAACAACCAUCUUUGAAACUAACCUGUCCGAAUUACAAGACUGACCACGUUCCUCCAUUCCUCACAAUUGUGCCCAGGCACGAUGAACAAAGUUACACGUAACUCUCAGAGAAGAGGACAUAUUCACCGUUACCAAACACUUGGAUAAAGCAUUGUACUCAGAUUAUAAAAAGAACCC